GAUGAACGCUAGCGGCAGGCUUAAUACAUGCAAGUCGUGGGGCAGCAUGAGUAGCAAUACUUGAUGGCGACCGGCAAACGGGUGAGGAACACGUACACAACCUUCCUUCAAGCGGGGAAUAGCCCAGAGAAAUUUGGAUUAAUACCCCAUAAUAUAUUUGAUAAGGCAUCUUAUUAAUAUUAAAGCUUCGGCACUUGAUGAUGGGUGUGCGGCUGAUUAGAUAGUUGGCGGGGUAACGGCCCGACCAAGUCUACGAUCAGUAGCUGAUGUGAGAGCAUGAUCAGCCACACGGGCACUGAGACACGGGCCCGACUCCUACGGGAGGCAGCAGUAAGGAAUAUUGGACAAUGGACGAAGUCUGAUCCAGCC
rnacentral:rRNA from 1 species